CAUUCCUGAUUUCUCUACCGUUAUUCCCAAUCUUGCUCUCAAGUCUGCCAUUCUCAACUGGUGCAACAAGAACUCCGUAAAGCCGCCACAAGCUCUUGAUUUCUUCUCUGCAGAGAAGCUCGUCCGUGCAAAAAUGGACGCCCAACAAGAAGAGAAGGGUUUGAUUCAGAGGAUUAAACAGUGCCCUUCAGUAAAUUUCAUGAAUCAAGCAGCAAUUGAAUUGACGCUUCCUCCAUCCCAUUUAUCCUCCAGCUCUGAGGAAUCAGUGGACACCACCGCUUCGACCCCUCAGCUGCAGUUCACGACUCGGCCUAGUUUCUGCCCA
rnacentral:misc_RNA from 1 species